rnacentral:rRNA from 1 species
AACUUUUGACAUGUCCCGUAUGGAUUUCAGAGAUGAGAUCCUUCAGUUCGGCUGGCGGGAACACAGGUGCUGCAUGGCUGUCGUCAGCUCGUGUCGUGAGAUGUUGGGUUAAGUCCCGCAACGAGCGCAACCCUCGCCCUUAGUUGCCAUCAUUUAGUUGGGCACUCUAAGGGGACUGCCGGUGAUAAGCCGGAGGAAGGUGGGGAUGACGUCAAGUCCUCAUGGCCCUUACAGGUUGGGCUACACACGUGCUACAAUGGCGGUGACAGAGGGACGCAAAAGGGCAACCUUUCGCAAAUCUCAAAAAGCCGUCUCAGUUCGGAUUGGGGUCUGCAACUCGACCCCAUGAAGUUGGAAUCGCUAGUAAUCGCAGAUCAGCACGCUGCGGUGAAUACGUUCCCGGGCC